GUCACAAGUUUACUACAUGGGGGGUUGCAAGCUGUCAGCCUCUACCCCAAAACUCGCUUUGCAUCCAACAUUUAUAAUGAUGUUAAAUAUAUUAAAAAGUGUUUUUAAUGUAUAAGGGUGGGGGGCUCGCACUCAGAGGCUAGCUAUGUAAAUAGUACAUUAAUUUGAGAACCUUGGUU